rnacentral:rRNA from 1 species
UGCAGUCGUACGAGACGCUUCAGCUUGCUGAAGCUAGUAAAGUGGCGUACGGGUGAGUAACGCGUGGGUAAUCUACCUCUGAAUUGGGGAUAACAUUGCGAAAGCGAUGCUAAUACCGGAUAAUAUCCAUUAAACCUCGGUUUUUUUGGAUCAAAGAUGGCCUCUACAUGUAAGCUAUUGUUUGGAGACGAGCCCGCGUACCAUUAGCUUGUUGGUAGGGUAACGGCUUACCAAGGCAACGAUGGUUAGCUGGUCUGAGAGGAUGAUCAGCCACACUGGAACUGACACACGGUCCAGACUCCUACGGGAGGCAGCAGUGAGGAAUUUUGCGCAAUGGGGGAAACCCUGACGCAGCAACGCCGCGUGAGUGAUGAAGGCUUUCGGGUCGUAAAGCUCUGUCAAGUGGGAAGAACCCGUGCCGCACAAAUAGUGCGGUGCGCUGACGGUACCACUGAAGGAAGCACCGGCUAACUCCGUG